GACGAACGCUGGCGGCGUGCUUAACACAUGCGAGUCGAACGCUGAAGCUCAGCUUGCUGGGUGGAUGAGUGGCGAACGGGUGAGUAACACGUGAGUAACCUGCCCUCUUCUUUGGGAUAACGCCCGGAAACGGGUGCUAAUACUGGAUAUUCACUGAUUCUCGCAUGGGGGUUGGUGGAAAGGUUUUUUCUGGUGGGGGAUGGGCUCGCGGCCUAUCAGCUUGUUGGUGGGGUGAUGGCCUACCAAGGCUUUGACGGGUAGCCGGCCUGAGAGGGUGACCGGUCACAUUGGGACUGAGAUACGGCCCAGACUCCUACGGGAGGCAGCAGUGGGGAAUAUUGCACAAUGGGCGAAAGCCUGAUGCAGCGACGCCGCGUGAGGGAUGGAGGCCUUCGGGUUGUAAACCUCUUUCGCUCAUGGUCAAGCCGCAGCUUUGGGUUGUGGUGAGGGUAGUGGGUAAAGAAGCGCCGGCUAACUACGUG
rnacentral:rRNA from 1 species